rnacentral:misc_RNA from 1 species
UCUCCGUUGGUGAACCGGCGGAGGGAUCAUUACCGAGUUUACAACUCCCAAACCCCUGUGAACAUACCAUUUGUUGCCUCGGCGGUGCCUGCUUCGGCAGCCCGCCAGAGGACCCAAACCCUUGAUUUUAUACAGUAUCUUCUGAGUAAAUGAUUAAAUAAAUCAAAACUUUCGACAACGGAUCUCUUGGUUCUG